rnacentral:rRNA from 1 species
UACGUAGGGGGCAAGCGUUGUCCGGAAUCAUUGGGCGUAAAGCGCGUGUAGGCGGCUCGAUAAGUCUGCUGUGAAAGUCCAAGGCUCAACCUUGGGAUGCCGGUGGAUACUGUCGAGCUCGAGUCCGGAAGAGGAGUGUGGAAUUCCUGGUGUAGCGGUGAAAUGCGUAGAUAUCAGGAGGAACACCUGUGGUGUAGACGGCUUACUGGACCAUGACUGACGCUGAGGCACGAAAGCGUGGGGAGCGAACGGG